UACGGAGGGUGCAAGCGUUAUCCGGAUUCACUGGGUUUAAAGGGUGCGUAGGUGGGCUGAUAAGUCAGUGGUGAAAUCUCUAGGCUUAACCUGGAAACUGCCAUUGAUACCAUCGGUCUUGAAUCUCGCGUAGGUAAGCGGAAUAUGUCAUGUAGCGGUGAAAUGCUUAGAUAUGACAUAGAACACCAAUUGCGAAGGCAGCUUACUUCACGAGUAUUGACACUGAGGCACGAAAGCGUGGGGAGCAAACAGG
rnacentral:rRNA from 1 species